rnacentral:rRNA from 1 species
UCGAACGAGGCCUUCGGGUCUAGUGGCGAACGGCGGAGUAAUAYAUAAGCAACGUGCCUUGAAGACCGGGACAAACGCAGAAAUGUCAUGAAUACCGGAUGUGGCUGAGAGUCGGCAUCGACUUUCAAUUAAAUGGUUUUUCGCUUCAAGAGCGGCUUAUAGUGCAUCAGGUAGUUGGUGGGGUAAUGGCCUACCAAGCCAACGACGCAUAGGGGGUCUGAGAGGAUGAUCCCCCCGAGAGGGACUGAGACACGGCCCUCACACCUACGGGUGGCAGCAGUUGGGAAUCGUUGUCAAUGGGGGAAACCCUGAACACGCGACACCGCGUGGAGGAUGAAGGCCUUAGGGUUGUAAACUCCUUUUGCAUGGAAAGACUUAGGACGGUACCAUGCGAAUAAGCUCCGGCUAACUACGUGCCAGCAGCCGCGGUAAGACGUAGGGAGCAAGCGUUGUCCGGAUUUACUGGGCGUAAAGAGUUCGUAGGCGGUCUAUUAAGUGUGAAGUGAAAUCCCCAGCGCUCAACGCGGGAACUGCUUCGCAUACUGGCAGACUUGAGGAUUGGAGAGGUAACUGGAAUUCCUGGUGUAGCGGUGACAUGCAUUGAUAUCAGGAGGAACACCAAAGGCGAAGGCAGGUUACUGGCCAAUAUCUGACGCUGAGGAACGAAAGCGUGGGUAGCAAACAGAAUUAGAUACUCUGGUAGUCCACGCCCUAAACUAUGGAUACUAGACGUAAGAGGUAUCGACCCCUCUUGUGUCGCAGCUAACGCAUUAAGUAUCCCGCCUGGGGAGUACGGCCGCAAGGUUGAAACUCAAAUGAAUUGACGGGGACCCGCACAAGCGGUGGAGCAUGUGGAUUAAUUCGAUACUAACCGAAGAACCUUACCUAGGUUUGACAUCGAUGGCAAGACUCAGAGAUGAGUCCC